rnacentral:sRNA from 1 species
CUUGGUCAUUUAGAGGAAGUAAAAGUCGUAACAAGGUUUCCGUAGGUGAACCUGCGGAAGGAUCAUUACCUAGAGUUUGUAGACUUCGGUCUGCUACCUCUUACCCAUGUCUUUUGAGUACCUUCGUUUCCUCGGCGGGUCCGCCCGCCGAUUGGACAACAUUCAAACCCUUUGCAGUUGCAAUCAGCGUCUGAAAAAACAUAAUAGUUACAACUUUCAACAACGGAUCUCUUGGUUCUGGCAUCGAUGAAGAACGCAGCGAAAUGCGAUAAGUAGUGUGAAUUGCAGAAUUCAGUGAAUCAUCGAAUCUUUGAACGCACAUUGCGCCCCUUGGUAUUCCAUGGGGCAUGCCUGUUCGAGCGUCAUUUGUACCUUCAAGCUCUGCUUGGUGUUGGGUGUUUGUCUCGCCUCUGCGUGUAGGCUCGCCUUAAAACAAUUGGCAGCCGGCGUAUUGAUUUCGGAGCGCAGUACAUCUCGCGCUUUGCACUCAUAACGACGACGUCCAAAAGUACAUUUUUACACUCUUGACCUCGGAUCAGGUAGGGAUACCCGCUGAACUUAAGCAUAUCAAUAAGCGGAGGAAAAGAAACCAACAGGGAUUGCCCUAGUAACGGCGAGUGAAGCGGCAACAGCUCAAAUUUGAAAUCUGGCGUCUUUGGCGUCCGAGUCGUAAUUUGCAGAGGGCGCUUUGGCAUUGGCAGCGGUCCAAGUUCCUUGGAACAGGACGUCACAGAGGGUGAGAAUCCCGUACGUGGUCGCUAGCCUUUACCGUGUAAAGCCCCUUCGACGAGUCGAGUUGUUUGGGAAU